rnacentral:rRNA from 1 species
CCUACGGGCGGCAGCAGUGAGGAAUAUUGGUCAAUGGACGGAAGUCUGAACCAGCCAUGCCGCGUGCAGGAAGACGGCUCUAUGAGUUGUAAACUGCUUUUGUACAAGGGUAAACCUGAAUACGUGUAUUCAGCUGAAAGUACUGUACGAAUAAGGAUCGGCUAACUCCGUGCCAGCAGCCGCGGUAAUACGGAGGAUCCAAGCGUUAUCCGGAUUUAUUGGGUUUAAAGGGUGCGUAGGCGGAUUGAUAAGUUAGAGGUGAAAUGUUGGAGAGUAACUCGGGAACUGCCUCUAAUACUGUUGAUCUAGAGAGUAGAAGCGAUAGGAGGAAUGUAAGGUGUAGCGGUGAAAUGCUUAGAGCUCAUACAGAACACCGAUUGCGGAGGUAGAUGACCAAUCUAUAUAUGAAGUUGAGGCACGAAAGCGUGGGGAGCAAAAAGGAUUAGAUACACCUGGAGUC